GCCCCGGUAGCCCAAUCGGCAGAGGCGAUGGUCUCAAACACCAUUCAGUGUGGGUUCGAGUCCCACCCGGGGCACCA
rnacentral:tRNA from 1 species